CCUGACUGCUAUCGGAUUGAUACUAAGCCAUGCGAGUCAUUGUAGUAAUACAAGGCAGACGGCUCAGUAACGCGUAGUCAACCUACCCUAUGGACGGGGAUAACCCCGGGAAACUGAGAAUAAUACCAGAUAGAACAUUAUGCCUGGAAUGGUUUAUGUUUCAAAUAAUUUAUUGCCGUAGGAUGGGACUGCGGCCUAUCAGUUUGUUGGUGAGGUAAUGGCCCACCAAGACUAUUACAGGUACGGGCUCUGAGAGGAGUAGCCCGGAGAUGGGUACUGAGACACGGACCCAGGCCCUAUGGGGCGCAGCAGGCGAGAAAACUUUGCAAUGUGCGAAAGCACGACAAGGUUAAUCCGAGUGGUUUCUGCUAAAGGAACCUUUUGUCAGUCCUAGAAACACUGAUGAAUAAGGGGUGGGCAAGUUCUGGUGUCAGCCGCCGCGGUAAAACCAGCACCUCAAGUGGUCAGGAUGAUUAUUGGGCCUAAAGCAUCCGUAGCCUGCUUUGUUAGUUUUCGGUUAAAUCCAUAUGCUCAACGUAUGGGCCGCCGGGAAUACUGCAAAGCUAGGGAGUGGGAGAGGUAGACGGUACUCGGUAGGAAGGGGUAAAGUCCUUUGAUCUAUUGAUGACCACCUGUGGCGAAGGCGGUCUACCAGAACACGUCCGACGGUGAGGGAUGAAAGCUGGGGGAGCAAACCGGAUUAGAUACCCGGGUAGUCCCAGCUGUAAACUAUGCAAACUCAGUGAUGCAUUGGCUUGAUGCCAAUGCAGUGCUGCAGGGAAGCCGUUAAGUUUGCCGCCUGGGAAGUACGUACGCAAGUAUGAAACUUAAAGGAAUUGGCGGGGGAGCACCACAAAGGGGUGAAGCCUGCGGUUC
rnacentral:rRNA from 1 species